AAUGAUAACAUCAGCAGCUGCGUAUUUGUAAUAACAUCAACAAAUCAGCCCAUUGACCCGCACGCAAACCCAACUUUGAUCCAACAUCAAUGACCAAAAUCGAGUGACUCAAACUCGCGCGUUCAACUCAGCCAAUGAUCCUUUAAAUUUUGAAAAACUGGAGAUUCGAAUUGGUACGAAAUAGUAUGAAUCUUGUUUAAUAAACCUUAUCCUCAAUUUGAAAUUCCCAAAUUAUCCAAAAUUCCUCUAUCCUACAUCUCCAAAUCAGUGAAGAAUUGGGAUUGGGAUUCUAUAUAAACCCUUCCCUCUCACUGUUGAUAGGGUUUUUCCAAAACGAAAAAGGGCAUUUGUCUAGGAUUUUGGACUUCAGUCCCCAUCCUUAGAGUUGUGAGAAUUAUGGCUCAAGUGCCAUUUUUGUUACUAUUUUCAAGUCUAGAAAAGUGCUGAAGUCAUCGUCAAUUCGUCGUCCGGGAGAGCUGCCCCAAAGAAGGUUCAGGUGCUCAGUUUCAGCAGCAUGAGUGAUUUCAAGCAUCUCCAUCUACAUUUUGAUAGUUGGUGAGUCAUCAUAGUUUAGGGACCUAGUUAUUCAGAUUUUCAGUUUAUUAAAGCAGAUUGUUCAGUUAUUUUCAGUCAGUUCGAGUCAGCUGAGGGUCUGACCCAGCGGCUCUAUAGUUGCCAGUAGUAGAGGCUUGUCAGACUGCUAGUUGUAAUUUAGAUUUCAAGAAUUAGUUGUCCAGACUUUUAAG